ensembl:lncRNA LINC01180 long intergenic non-protein coding RNA 1180
ACGGAGACAGGGUUUCACCAUGUUGGCCAUGCUGUUUUCACCAUGUUGGCCGGGCUGUUUUCGAACUCCUGACCUCAGAUGAUCCAUCUGCCUCCCAAAAUGCUGGGAUUACAGACGUGAGCCACCUCACCCGGCCCUACUAUUGGAUUUUUAAAGACAGAUAUUUAAGAACAUUCUUUGCUAGAACUGAGGACAAUUUAAACUUAUUCCAUUCAAGAAAACUUAGUGCAGAAUGCAGACUUUCCCUUUCAAGUAUAUGUAAAAGUUAACUUCUUUUUUUUUCCACCUCUGGAAGACAAUGUACAAUGUAGUACUCUUCAGAUACACUAAUGAGACCCUUUUUAUACUUUAACAGGGACGUAAACAUUUCCUUUUGUAACAAAAAUAAAUUAUGGGUUUCAUUUUAAAAAGCCUAUCCCCAAGAAAUGUUUUGAGUGUUAAUCUAAGUAAGAUUUCAUUAUUCUCAUAAGUAAAACUUUGAGUUCAAAUAAAGUUUUGAUUUUUUUUUUGAUAAUUGAAGGUAUAUGUAGGGGCUCAACCUAAAUGCCAGGGAAUUAACCCUCCAUAGGAAGUAAUCAUAUAAUUCUAAGUCAGUAUAUAAUUGAAUUGAUGUAGGAUUUUUAAGUAUUCUCUCAACUAUAUUAAAUGAAUUGUUUUUCCAGUUUUCUAGUGGUCCAAAAACUUAAAUAGGCUGCAAAUCUGCUGUGAUUCAAACCGUGCAAUUCCUCACAGGCAUCUCUGACUUGAGGGACUAAGUUCCUGUAAUUAUGUGUCCUGAAAUUAACUGGGUUGCCAGAUAGGUUUUCUCAACCUUUAAUAGCUUGUUGGAAGGCUUACAGAAUGCUCUUUAUUAGAAAUAUUUGGAACUACUUCCCCCCUUUUGGAUACUCAAAUUAGUGUUUUUCUAGUUCUCUGGCAUAAUUUGUAUAGCUGCUUCCUUUGUAGAAAGUAAGCUUAUGUUCUGCUUUUCCCUUUCUGGUUGGCUGGAGUGCUAGGUCACUCUUAUCUGUGCUCUAGGAAACUUUUAGAUUUCUACUUAGCUUAGGAUGACACCCUGAAAGAUUUAGGGUCUGCUUCUGUUUGGGUUAGGGGGUAGACACUUGAAUUCAUUGGUCUUUUUUUUGGCUCACUGCAGCCUUGACCUCCAGCACUCAAGGGAUCCUCCCACUUCAGCCUCUAGAGUAGCUGCAACUAUAGGUGCCUGCCACUAUGCUCACUAAUUUUGUGUAUUUAUUGUAGAGACAAGGUCUUACUGUAUUCCUAGGCUGGUCUCGGACUCCUGGACUCAAGGGAUCUUCCUUCUUCAGCCUCCCAAAGUGCUAGGGUAACAGGCAUGAGCCACCAUGCCCGGCCAAAUAGAUUGGUUUUUAUCAAAGAUGCUGUAAUAUUAAUAUGCAUCUUCCUGCUAUCCCUUCAAAAGUGAGAAUUAAUGUUGUUUUCUUUUCUUUUCUUUUUUUGAGAUGGAGUCUCUCUCUGUCACCCAGGCUGGAGUGCAGUGGCGCAAUCUUAGCCCACCGCAACCUCUGCCUCCCGGGUUCAAGCAAUUCUCCUGCCUCAGCCUUCCGAGUAGCUGGGAUUACAGGGUCUUGCUCUGUCACCUAGGCUGGAGUGCAGUGGUGUGAUCACAGCUCACUGGAGCCUCGACCUCCUGGGAUCAAGCGAUUCUCUCACCUCAACCUUUGAACUUCUAGAUAAGUGGUUCUCAAAGUGUGGUCCUUCAACCAACAGCAUCAUCACCACCCAGGAACUUAUUAGAAAUGGAAGUUCUUGCACCCUGCCAAAACCAGAAACUGCGGAUGGGUCCCAGCAAUCUUUAUUUUAACGACUGUUAAAAUCAGAAUCAAGUGAUUCUGAUGCAAACUUAAGUUUGAAAACAUUGUUCUAUUAAAAGUAAUGGCAAAAACCGCAAUUACUUUUGCACCAACCUAAGAGCUCUGCACUGUUCAAUAUGGUAGCUUCUAACUAUUGAAUUUUUUAAUGCUAUUAUCUCCUUUAUUCAAAAAUAAAUAUUUCACUUUGAUUCAA